CAAUAGCGUAUAUUAAAGUUGUUGCAGUUAAAAAGCUCGUAGUUGGAUUUCUGGUAGGAGUGACCGUUCCGAACUUGAUUGUUCGUGUAUUGUGUUUUCUCCAGCCAUCCUUGUGGAGAACUUUUCUUGCAUUAAUUUGUAGGGAUUGGGACCCGCAUCGUUUACUGGGAAAAAAUUAGAGUGUUUAAAGCAGGCAAUCGCUUGAAUACAUUAGCAUGGAAUAAUAAGAUAGGACUUUGGUACUAUUUUGUUGGUUUGCAUACCAAAUUAAUGAUCAACAGGAACAGUUUGAGGAUAUUCGUAUGAACAUGUCAGAGGUGAAAUUCUUGGAUUUUGAUCAGACGAACUACUGCGAAAGCAUUUAUCAAGGAUGUUUUCAUUAA
rnacentral:rRNA from 1 species